UACGAGGGGGGCAAGCGUUGUUCGGAUUUAUUGGGCGUAAAGGGUGCGUAGGCGGUUUGGCAAGUCUUGUGUGAAAUCUUUGGGCUCAACCCAAAGUCUGCACAAGAAACUGCCGGGCUUGAGUAUGGGGAGAGGUGAGUGGAAUUUCCGGUGUAGCGGUGAAAUGCGUAGAUAUCGGAAGGAACACCUGUGGCGAAAGCGGCUCACUGGACCAUUACUGACGCUGAGGCACGAAAGCUAGGGGAGCAAACAGG
rnacentral:rRNA from 1 species